UACGUAGGGGGCGAGCGUUGUCCGAAGUUACUGGGCGUAAAGAGUACGUAGGUGGCUUGUUAAGAUACAUCUGAAAGGUGACAGCUCAACUGUCAAUGGCGGUGUAAGACUGGCAGGCUUGAGGCAAGCAGAAGAGUGUGGAACUCCGAGUGUAGCGGUGGAAUGCGUAGAGAUUCGGAAGAACACCCAUGGCGAAGGCAGCACUCUGGGCUUGAACCGCAAGGUGAACCUGACACUGAGGUACGAAAGCCAGGGGAGCGAACGGG
rnacentral:rRNA from 1 species